AACCCGGGAGGCGGAGCUUGCAGUGAGCCGAGAUUGCGUCACCGCACUCCAGCCUGGGCGACAGAGCGAGACUCCGUCUCAAAAAAAAUGACUGGACAAAAAACACUCUGAUGCAAACAGGCAAGAAACCCAGCAAGGCCUAUCUGGAUUCUCCUUGGCCUGUCUGCAGCAUUCAUUCCUUCUGGGUAUGGAACAGGACCCUCUGGAAUGGGGGCUGUGGCCUACAACAGUUAAACAAGAAAUCUCUCUCUGGGAACAGUGUGGAAGAUGGAUUGAAAUGGUGUAAAAUUGAAGAUGUGGACUCCGGUUGGGAGACUACACCCUAGAUAAGAUGAAGAGAACUUGAAGCAAGACAAUAGCAAUGGGAAUAUAAAGGAGAGGAGACAUUUGAGUGAAAUUAAGGAAGCACAAUCUGCAGACUGUUUUCUUUUUUUUAAGAGUCAGGGUCUCCCUAUUUUGCCCAGGCUGGUCUCAAAGUCCUAGGCUCAAGCGACCCACCCACCUCAGCCUUCCAAAAUGCUGGAAUUACAGGGGUGAACUGCCUCACCAUGCCUCAGUCUGCAGAAUUUGAUGACUGAAUGUAUUUGGAGAGAGUCUGUGGCUUGGAUGACUGGGUGAGUGGAUUGUGAUGCCGUUCAUGGAAAUGAAGAAGGCAGAGG
rnacentral:lncRNA from 10 species